AAGCGGAGGAAAAGAAACCAACAGGGAUUGCCCUAGUAACGGCGAGUGAAGCGGCAACAGCUCAAAUUUGAAAUCUGGCUCUUUUAGAGUCCGAGUUGUAAUUUGCAGAGGGCGCUUUGGCUUUGGCAGCGGUCCAAGUUCCUUGGAACAGGACGUCACAGAGGGUGAGAAUCCCGUACGUGGUCGCUGGCUAUUGCCGUGUAAAGCCCCUUCGACGAGUCGAGUUGUUUGGGAAUGCAGCUCUAAAUGGGAGGUACAUUUCUUCUAAAGCUAAAUAUUGGCCAGAGACCGAUAGCGCACAAGUAGAGUGAUCGAAAGAUGAAAAGCACUUUGGAAAGAGAGUCAAACAGCACGUGAAAUUGUUGAAAGGGAAGCGCUUGCAGCCAGACUUGCUUACAGUUGCUCAUCCGGGUUUCUACCCGGUGCACUCUUCUGUAGGCAGGCCAGCAUCAGUUUGGGCGGUAGGAUAAAGGUCUCUGUCACGUACCUCCUUUCGGGGAGGCCUUAUAGGGGAGACGACAUACUACCAGCCUGGACUGAGGUCCGCGCAUCUGCUAGGAUGCUGGCGUAAUGGCUGUAAGCGGCCCGUCUUGAAACACGGACCAAGGAGUCUAACAUCUAUGCGAGUGUUUGGGUGUCAAGCCCGAGCGCGUAAUGAAAGUGAACGGAGGUGGGAACCCGCAAGGGUGCACCAUCGACCGAUCCUGAUGUCUUCGGAAGGAUUUGAGUAAGAGCAUGGCUGUUGGGACCCGAAAGAUGGUGAACUAUGCUUGAAUAGGGUGAAGCCAGAGGAAACUCUGGUGGAGGCUCGCAGCGGUUCUGACGUGCAAAUCGAUCGUCAAAUUUGGGCAUAGGGGCGAAAGACUAAUCGA
rnacentral:rRNA from 1 species